rnacentral:rRNA from 1 species
UCCGGUUGAUCCUGCCGGACCUGACUGCUAUCGGAUUGAUACUAAGCCAUGCGAGUCAUUGUAGCAAUACAAGGCAUACGGCUCAGUAACGCGUAGUCAACCUAACCUAUGGACGGGAAUAACCUCGGGAAACUGAGAAUAAUGCCCGAUAGAACAUUAUGCCUGGAAUGGCUUAUGUUCCAAAUGAUUUAUCGCCGUAGGAUGGGACUGCGGCCUAUCAGUUUGUUGGUGAGGUAAUGGCCCACCAAGACUAUUACAGGUACGGGCUCUGAGAGGAGUAGCCCGGAGAUGGGUACUGAGACACGGACCCAGGCCCUAUGGGGCGCAGCAGGCGAGAAAACUUUGCAAUGUGCGAAAGCACGACAAGGUUAAUCCGAGUGAUUUGUGCUAAACGAAUCUUUUGUUAGUCCUAGAACCACUAACGAAUAAGGGGUGGGCAAGUUCUGGUGUCAGCCGCCGCGGUAAAACCAGCACCUCAAGUGGUCAGGAUGAUUAUUGGGCCUAAAGCAUCCGUAGCCGGCUCUGUAAGUUUUCGGUUAAAUCUGUACGCUUAACGUACAGGCUGCCGGGAAUACUGCAGAGCUAGGGAGUGGGAGAGGUAGACGGUACUCGGUAGGAAGUGGUAAAAUGCUUUGAUCUAUCGAUGACCACCUGUGGCGAAGGCGGUCUACCAGAACACGUCCGACGGUGAGGGAUGAAAGCUGGGGGAGCAAACCGGAUUAGAUACCCGGGUAGUCCCAGCUGUAAACUAUGCAAACUCAGUGAUGCAUUGGCUUGUGGCCAAUGCAGUGCUGCAGGGAAGCCGUUAAGUUUGCCGCCUGGGAAGUACGUACGCAAGUAUGAAACUUAAAGGAAUUGGCGGGGGAGCACCACAAGGGGUGAAGCCUGCGGUUCAAUUGGAUUCAACGCCGGA